rnacentral:rRNA from 1 species
AUAAAAGGAAGCGAACUAAGGGCGUAUGGCGGAUGCCUAGGCUCUCGGAGGCUACGAAGGACGUGGUAAGCUGCGAAAAGCUACGGGGAGGUGCAAACGACCUAUAAUCCGUAGAUGUCCGAAUGGGGCAACCCAUCAGGUUGAAGACCUGAUUUAUAGCGAACGCGGGGAACUGAAACAUCUAAGUACCCGUAGGAAAGGAGAUCAAUAGAGAUUCCGCAAGUAGUGGCGAGCGAACGCGGACGAGCCCAUAAAGUCUAUAUAGUUUUAGUUGAACAUACUGGAAAGUAUGACCCAAGGAGGUGACAGUCCUGUAGACGAAAAGGUUAUAUAGAUGAAGACGAGUAGGGCGGAACCGGAGAAAUUCUGUCUGAAGUUGCCAGCACCAUCUGGUAAGGCUAGAUACUCCCGAGAGACCGAUAGUGAACCAGUACCGUGAGGGAAAGGUGAAAAGAACCCCAAGAAGGGGAGUGAAAAGACCCUGAAACCAUACGCUUACAAGCGGUCGGAGCCUCGCCAAUGGCGGGUGACGGCGUGCCUUUUGCAUAAUGAUCCUACGAGUUACACUUUUCUAGCAAGUUUAAGUGCCUUGAGGCACGGAGGCGCAGCGAAAGCGAGUCUGAAUAGGGCGAUCAUAGCUAGAGGAGGUAGACGCGAAACCCGGUGAUCUACCCAUGGGCAGGUUGAAGUGUCGAUAGUCUCGACAUGGAGGACCGAACCAGUACAUGUUGAAAAAUGUUUGGAUGACCUGUGGGUAGGGGUGAAAGGCCAAUCAAACCGGGAGAUAGCUCGUACUCCCCGAAAUGCAUUUAGGUGCAGCGUUGAUUUAGAGUGUCAUGGAGGUAGAGCUACUGAUAGGGCUAGGGGGCUUCACCGCCUACCAACCCCUGACAAACUCCGAAUACCAUGACAUGUUUAUCAGCAGUGAGGCUACGGGUGCUAAGGUCCGUGGCCGAGAGGGAAACAACCCAGAUCAACAGCUAAGGUCCCUAAAUAUAUACUAAGUUGAAUGAACGAGGUGAGGAUGCUAAGACAGCUAGGAUGUUGGCUUGGAAGCAGCCAUUCAUUUAAAGAGUGCGUAACAGCUCACUAGUCGAGCGUUCUUGCGCGGAAAAUGAUCGGGCAUCAAGUAUAUUACCGAAGCUAUGGCUUCUAACGUAAGUUAGAGGGGUAGGGGAGCAUUCCAAUGGAGUUGAAGUUGUCACGUGAGUGAUGGUGGAUUAAUUGGAAAAGAAAAUGUAGGAAUGAGUAACGAUAAAAUAGGUGAGAAACCUAUUCGCCGUAAGACUAAGGAUUCCUAGAUCGAUGUUAAUCAGAUCAGGGUUAGUCGGGACCUAAGGAUAACCCGAAAGGGGAAGCCGAUGGAAAACGGGUUAAUAUUCCCGUACCGGUGUAUAUUGCGAUGGGGUGACGAAGGUGCGUAAGAUCUGCCAGCUGACGGAUGCUGGUUGAAGUGUUUAGGUGAUGAGAUCGAUAGUUAAAUGCGUCGAUUGAGCUGAGGCACGAUAGUACUGCUGGGCAGCGAUGCCUGGCAGAUAAUGAUCCCAAGCGGACUUCCAAGAAAAACCUCUAAGCUUCAGAUAUACUACCGCCCGUACCGUAAACCGACACAGGUAGUCGAGGAGAGCAUCCUCAGGCGCUCGAGUGAUUCGUGGCUAAGGAACUAGGCAAAAUGGUCUCGUAACUUCGGGAGAAGAGACGCUCUGUAAUUAUAUGGAGCCGCAGUGAAGAGGCCCAGGCGACUGUUUAUAAACGGCGGCCGUAACUAUAACGGUCCUAAGGUAGCGAAAUUCCUUGUCGGGUAAGUUCCGACCUGCACGAAUGGUGCAACGAUCUGGGCACUGUCUCAGCCACGAGCUCGGUGAAAUUGAAGUAUCGGUGAAGAUGCCGGUUACCCGCAGCGGGACGAAAAGACCCCGUGAACCUUUACUACAGCUUCACAUUGGAUUUGGAUAUAACAUGUGUAGGAUAGCUGGGAGACAUUGAGUCUGCAUCGCCAGAUGUGGAGGAGUCGUUGGUGAAAUACCAGCCUUGUUUUAUUUAAAUUCUAAUCUGCGAAAGCGGAGACAUUGUGUGGUGGGUAGUUUGACCCUCGAUGUCGGCUCGUCACAUCCUGGGGCUGGAGAAGGUCCCAAGGGUUGGGCUGUUCGCCCAUUAAAGUGGCACGCGAGCUGGGUUCAGAACGUCGCAAGACAGUUCGGUCUCUAUCUGCUGUGGGCGUAGGAAUAUUGAGGAGAUCUGACACUAGUACGAGAGGACCGUGUUGGACAGACCUCUAGUGUACCAGUUGUGCCGCCAGGUGCAUUGCUGGGUAGCUAUGUUUGGCAAGGAUAAGCGCUGAAAGCAUCUAAGCGCGAAGCCUACUCCAAGAUGAGUAUUCCCUAAGGGUCGUUCAAGAUGAGGACGUAGAUAGGCCAUAGGUGGAAGUGCUGUGAAGUAUGAAGCCGAGUGGUACUAAUUACCCAUGAGCUUCCUUUUUU